rnacentral:lncRNA from 1 species
UAUUAUAUUAUGUCAUAUUAGCAUGCUGACGUUAGAAUUUAGUUCAAAGCACUGUUGUGCCUAAGACCUAGCAUGGCUCUAGCAGGGCUUGUCUAAACAGUGAAAGUCAACACAGUAAAAAUGUAACAACACUCAAAAAGUUAAGUGGGUUAAACUGACAUAGAUAUCAUGCUUGGACACUAGCUCCUCUGUUUUAUAGGUUGUUCUGUUAAGCUGGUGAGGGGGAGACGGCAUGAGGGGGCUUUUUCAAUGUAAACUCAAGGUGUGUAACAGUCCCGAGAAGUGCUUCAUUCUAUUUCUAUUUUGGUAUUUGAAUUUUGUUGUGGCAGUCCAAAUAUAAACUGUGAUCUACCGGAGCUGUCUGUGUGCAACUUUUCAGAAGCCGGUGUUUAUUUCUUCACUGUGAAGUGGUCCAAGGCACAUCUUUAAUGUCAGUAUUCUAUCCCAGUGAUGUCCCUGUAUCCCUGUUAACUGGUCUUCGGCAGCUGGUCGGACAUGUCAUCCACCCCGGUCAUUUGAGAACUGACAUCCAAAACUUCAGGCGAGGGUCAGGAGGAUAGAAACACACCGAUGCCAUCUACCUCCCGCUUGGUGAAAUAAAUCCUAUUUGAAACCAUCCCUAAGGAGCCCUUCACAAUAAAAUACAGUUGCUGUUUCCCAUAGCAACAAAAACUAGAUCCGAUGACUACCUUACAAAGAGAGACAGAAUAUGAUGGACGGACUGGAUAUGAUAUGAAUGGAAACGUCCUCCAGCCACAAAAUAAAUAUUUAUUGCUGCAAGCCACACUUUGCUGCUCCAAGCCUCACUCUCUGGAUCUUCAUAUGUCUUUCUUCCCUGCUCUGUGCCCUCACUUUGGAAACCAAUCUCUUCAGAGGUCAAAUCCUCUGGCUCUCUUUCUGUAG